GAUGAACGCUGGCGGCGUGCUUAACACAUGCAAGUCGAACGAGAACGGAUUAUAGCUUGCUAUAAUUGUCAGCUAAGUGGCGCACGGGUGAGUAAUGUAUAGGUAAUAUGCCUCUUACUAAGGGAUAACAAAUGGAAACGUUUGCUAAUACCUUAUACUCCUUAUUAACAGAAGUUAAUAAGGGAAAGAUUUAUUGGUAAGAGAUUAGCCUGUAUUGUAUCAGUUAGUUGGUGGGGUAAUGGCUUACCAAGACUAUGACACAUAACUGGUUUGAGAGGAUGAUCAGUCACACUGGAACUGAGACACGGUCCAGACUCCUACGGGAGGCAGCAGUGGGGAAUAUUGCACAAUGGACGAAAGUCUGAUGCAGCAGCGCCGCGUGGAGGAUGACACAUUUCGGUGCGUAAACUCCUUUUAUAUGAGAAGAUAAUGACGGUAUUAUAUGAAUAAGCACCGGCUAACUCCGUGCCAGCCGCCGCCGUAA
rnacentral:rRNA from 1 species